rnacentral:misc_RNA from 1 species
UACGUGGAGUCCAAGCGUUAUCCGGAUUUACUGGGCGUAAAGCGUCCGUAGGCGUCCGAGCAAGUUCCUGGUGAAAGCUCACGGCCCAACCGUGAAACUGUCAGGAAAACUGCCCGGAUAGAGUAUGGCAGAGGCAAGGGGAAUUCCCGGUGUAGGGGUAAAAUCCGUUGAUAUCGGGAAGAACACCAGUGGCGAAGGCGCCUUGCUGGGCCAUCACUGACGCUCAGGGACGAAAGCGUGGGUAGCGAACGGG